GAUGAACGCUGGCGGUAUGCCUAACACAUGCAAGUCGUACGAGAGUUUUUAACUCUAGUGGCGGACGGGUGAGUAACACGUGAGAAUUUGCCUUUAGGAGGGGGAUAACAAUUGGAAACGAAUGCUAAUACCCCAUAUGCUUUUGAGUGAAAUGGAUUUUAUCCGCCUAGAGAGAAGCUCGCGGCUGAUUAGCUUGUUGGUAAGGUAAGAGCUUACCAAGGCGACGAUCAGUAUCUGGUUUGAGAGGACGAUCAGACACACUGGAACUGAGACACGGUCCAGACUCCUACGGAGGCAGCAGUGGGGAAUUUCGCAAUGGCGAAAGCCUGACGGAGCAAUACCGCGUGAGGGAAGAAUGCCAUGGGUUGUAAACCGCUUUCAGCAGGG
rnacentral:rRNA from 1 species